rnacentral:rRNA from 1 species
UACGGGGGGGGCAAGCGUUGUUCGGAAUUACUGGGCGUAAAGGGCGCGUAGGCGGCUUGCUAAGUCAGACGUGAAAUCCCUCGGCUCAACCGGGGAACCGCGUCUGAUACUGGCGUAGCUUGAAUUCGGGAGAGGGAUGUGGAAUUCCAGGUGUAGCGGUGAAAUGCGUAGAUAUCUGGAGGAACACCGGUGGCGAAGGCGGCAUCCUGGACCGAGAUUGACGCUGAGGCGCGAAAGCCAGGGGAGCAAACGGG